GGAGAGAUGGAUGAGCGGUUUAAGUCGCACGCCUGGAAAGCGUGUAUAGGUUAACAGCCUAUCGGGGGUUCGAAUCCCCCUCUCUCCGCCA
rnacentral:tRNA from 8 species